GCAAGUCGAGCGGAAACGAUGGAAGCUUGCUUCCAGGCGUCGAGCGGCGGACGGGGGAGUAACGCGUAGGAAUCUGCCCAGUAGAGGGGGAUAGCCCGGGGAAACCCGGAUUAAUACCGCAUACGCCCUUCGGAGGAAAGGCCGGGAUCUUCGGACCGGUAGCUAUUGGAGGAGCCUGCGUGGGAUUAGCUUGUUGGUGGGGUAAAGGCCUACCAAGGCGACGAUCUCUAGCUGGUCUGAGAGGAUGAUC
rnacentral:rRNA from 1 species